UACGUAGGGGGCAAGCGUUGUUCGGAAUUACUGGGCGUAAAGGGCUCGUAGGCGGCCAACUAAGUCGGAUGUGAAAUCCCCAAGCUUAACUUGGGAACUGCAUCCGAUACUGGAUGGCUUGAAUCCGGGAGAGGGAUGCAGAAUUCCAGGUGUAGCGGUGAAAUGCGUAGAUAUCUGGAGGAAUACCGGUGGCGAAGGCGGCAUCCUGGACCGAGUAGUACGC
rnacentral:rRNA from 1 species